CAGUAAGGAGGGAGGGCAUGAAAUCUCAGGCUCCUGGGCGGGGCUGGGGAGGCCGGCCUUGUCACAGGCAGGAGGGGCCGCAUUCCUUCCUCAGCAGCUGGUGGAGCUGGGCCUGAGCAGGACUUCCCCAAAGGACUGAGAAGGAAGCCUCCACUCUGUCGUCGCUCUCUGCUUGGAAUUGCCUUCGGAAGACAUCCUCAAUCCUGCCCCAGCCUUACGAUUGUUUUGUGUCAUUAGAUGAAGUCACUUCACUUCUGAAGCUCACUUGCCUUUUCUAAAAACCGGAGGCUGAUAAGGAUUGCAGGAAACUCAUGGAGUUGUUCCGAGGUUAAAAUGAGAGUCUGCCUGUGGAAGGACAUUGCAGAUGAUAGAAGACACAGAUGUAAGGCAUCUACCUUAUCUUUACCAGUUUCAUCUUCUUCAUCUUCAUCUCAUUACCAUGGUCAUCCUCGUUAGCAGGGAAGAGCAGGAGUUCUCACGGCAGGAUAGGCUUCGCGGCUGUGCUGGGAAAUGCCUGUCUGAAGUAGGCCACACAUGGGCUGUGUGGAGGCUGGAGUGCACUGGUGUGAUCUCGGCUCACUGCAACCUCCACCUCCUGAGUUCAAGCGAUUCUUCUGCCUCAGUUUCCUGAGUAGCUGGAGCUAUAGGCGCAUGUCACCAUGCCCGGAUAAUUUUUGUAUUUUUGUAGUAGAGAUGGGGUUUUGCCAUAUUGGCCAAGCUGGUCUCAAACUGCUGACCUUGUGAUCCACCCACCUUGGCCUCCCAAAGUGCUGGGAUUACAGGCCUGAGCCACCGCACCCGGCCUUGUAUUUCUUUUUCUAUAAAUUACCUCUGUACCCUUUAUCCAUUUUAAAAAUUGGGCUGUCACUUAAAAAAAACUUAUUUGAUGGCAUUGUUUGUACCUUAGGACAUUAACUCUUUUAUAUAAGUUCUAUAGAACUUAUAUAAGUUAUAUAAGUUCUAUAUAACUUAUAUAAUGUUCUAUAAGUUCUAUA
rnacentral:lncRNA from 1 species